rnacentral:misc_RNA from 1 species
CGACCCUAUGCUUUCAUCCCACCACCAAACUGGCGGAGCGCACUUCAUUGCGACACAAUGUCUUGUCUUGAAGCGCUACCCCCUUCCCCCCCCCGCCACACACACACACACACACGUGUCUCUUGCACUGAAAGCCACGCCCCUGCUCGGAGCGAACAGGCAAGGGCAGCAGAAACCAUGAGGCCUAACUCUCUCCCUGUGUGCCUGUGCGAGUGUGGCGGCGCACACAACUGCAGCGCUUUGCGCAAAAUGAUGAUUUGCUGCGCGUGUGCCUUGACUGCAGGCCGCGAUGAAUAAAACAUCGGUCAACGCUUCCUUGCGAGCAGUCUCUGGUGUGCGCCCCACGUUCUGCGUACACCACUUGCUCCCCUCCUUUUAUGAGCCACUGAUGACGGGUCGCACCUCUCAGGGCGUGGUGGUGUCACAGGGCCCAGUACAUCCCCUCCCACUCUCUCUGUGUGUGCGUGGAGAAGCCGGGCAGCCCCCCUCCCCUCCUGUGCUUGCGAAAUGCCGAGCGGCUUCUGGCGGUGACAGGGUCUGGUGACUGCGACGUGGGGAGGUCAGAGCGAUGCAUUGCUACUGAUGUCGGCAGUGAGGUCGUGGGCGGCGUUGCGUCGGAGCGACCCGUGCCGCUGAACACGUCGGCGCCAUCGACAUGAUGGGCGAAGUGCCAGCGUGACUGGAAGGCGUCGCAGCCGGCCCUCACACUGCCCGCUGGUGUGUGUGGCGGGGGGCCUGGGGCACCGCACGAGGGGGUGCGCGAGGUGGUGGCGUGCGUGAUGGGUGCGACUGUGAGGCGACCUGCGAGGCCGGGGCGGUGCUGAGGUGACUGCGUGUGUGCGCAUUGCUGUGAGGCAUGCGUCUCUGGCUGCAUUGCACCACGCGGGGUGCGCCUGUGGCAGGGCCGGGGAGGGCUGGAGUGGGGCUUGACUCCUGUUGUAUGGCCGGGAGGAUGGGCUCACGCUGAAGCAAGAGAAAAAAGACUUUGUUUUGCGUGCUUCGACCUCUGCUGUCGAGGCCGCCUGGCCGACUGACAUCCUACCGUGGUGAUCAAGGCCAUCUAUCCCGCGCUGAUCGCUUCCAUUCUCUGUUGAGUGUAUCUGUUUGCUUUGUCGAUCGCGUCUCUCUCCCUCUCUCUGAAAG